GUGAAAUUUUUCAUAGAAUAUGUUACAGUAACUCGAGCAAAACUCAUGACAAUUCUCUCUCUAAUUGUACAUACCCGAAUUAUAAGUAAUUCACGUACGAAGGAUUACAGAAUUAGAACACAUUGAUCUGAAUACUUAAAAUGUAAAAUAAACCUCAGAAACCAAAAAGGAUAAAUUAGAAGUGCUACUUGAAAAUCCAACGUCUUUCUCAAGAUAACUGAUCUAAUCAUCAACCUCAGCUUUAAUCUCCUUUUGCAAUUCUUCCUUGUAUUCCUCGAAAGUUCCAGGGAAAAACUCCACAGUGCCAUUUUCAACAACCCAAAUUUCACUUUUUUCUUCAUCCUCGCAGACACGUGAUAUGAGUCUGGAAUCAUGACUAACCAGAACAACUCCACCAGUGAACUCAUCCAAGGCAUCUGCAAGUGCAUCAAUACUCUGCAUGUCCAAGUGAUUCGUCGGUUCAUCAAGCAGUAAUAUGUGUGGCUUUGACAUGGAAAUUGAGGUAAAAACAACCCUGGCUUUUUGGCCACCAGAUAAUUUAGCAAUUGGCGUGAGGUGAUUGUGGCUAGGGAGUCCAAACUUCCCCAGCUUAGCACGAACAGCCUCCUGCUUACUUAGACCCUCUUGAUCAGGAUGAAGACGAAGAAGAUAUUGAACUGGUGUUUCCUCCAUUGUCAGAAGAUCAACAAAAUGCUGUGAGU
rnacentral:misc_RNA from 1 species